rnacentral:rRNA from 1 species
GAUGAACGCUGGCGGCGUACUUAACACAUGCAAGUCGAACGAAGCUGUUAAAAGGAAGUCUUCGGAUGGAAUUUUAACAGACUUAGUGGCGGACGGGUGAGUAACGCGUGGAUAACCUGCCUUAUACAGGGGGAUAACGGAGAGAAAUUUCCGCUAAGACCGCAUAAGACCACAGCACCGCAUGGUGCAGGGGUAAAAUAUUAAUAGGUAUAAGAUGGAUCCGCGUCCGAUUAGCUAGUUGGUGAGGUAGAGGCUCACCAAGGCGACGAUCGGUAGCCGGCCUGAGAGGGUGAACGGCCACAUUGGGACUGAGACACGGCCCAAACUCCUACGGGAGGCAGCAGUGGGGAAUAUUGGACAAUGGGGGAAACCCUGAUCCAGCGACGCCGCGUGAGU